rnacentral:rRNA from 1 species
GAUGAACGCUGGCGGCGUGCCUAAUACAUGCAAGUCGAGCGAAGCGGGGACGGGUGAGGAAUACGUGGAUAACCUCCUAUAAGACUGGGAUAACUUCGGGAAACCUGAUCUAAACCGGAUCCUUAUAGAUGGUACCUCGCUGCAUUAGCUAGUUGGUAAGGUAACGGCUUACCAAGGCAACGCUGCAUAGCCGACCUGAGAGGGUGAUCAGCAACACUGGAACUGAGACAAGGUCCAGACUCCUACGGGAGGCAGCAGUAGGGAAUCUUCCGCAAUGGGCGAAAGCCUGACGGAGCAAAGCCGCGUGAGUGAAGAAGGUCUUCGGAUCGUAAAGCUCUGUUAUUAGGGAAGCGGUACCUAAUCAGAAAGCAACGGCUAACUACGUGCCAGCAGCCGCGGUAAUUC